rnacentral:rRNA from 1 species
AGCAAAUAGAUACCCUGGUAGUCCCAGCUGUAAACGAUGCGCGUUAGGUGUGUCAGUGACCACGAGUCACUGAGGUGCCGAAGGGAAACCGUGAAACGCGCCGCCUGGGAAGUACGGUCGCAAGGCUGAAACUCAAAGGAAUUGGCGGGGGAGCACCACAACAGGUGGAGCCUGCGGUUUAAUCGGACUCAACGCCGGGAAUCUCACCGGAUAAGACAGCUGAAUGAUAGUCGGGAUGAAGACUCUACUUGACUAGCUGAGAGGAGGUGCAUGGCCGUCGUCAGUUCGUACUGUGAAGCAUCCUGUUUAGUCAGGCAACGAGCGAGACCCACGCCAACAGUUGCCAGCUUGCCCUCCGGGGUGAUGGGGACACUGUUGGGACCGCCUCUGCUAAAGGGGAGGAAGGAAUGGGCAACGGUAGGUCAGCAUGCCCCGAAUUAUCCGGGCUACACGCGGGCUACAAUGGUCAGGACAAUGGUUUCGACACCGAAAGGUGAAGGUAAUCUCCUAAACCUGUCCUAAGUUCGGAUUGC